GCAGAGGACUCAUAGCGUAAGUUGUGCCUUGCACGUGGAAACUGUGUAAGGGAUGGUGUCAAAUUCGGAGAAACCUAAAGACGUUUAAACGAAUUGUUGUAUUUGCAGUCGAAUACACAAAUCGUUUUAAACGAAUAUGGCAACGCCGAGCGAAGCUUCAAUGCGAAAGUAUUGUUGAACGUGUAGAGACUAGACGGCACCCAUCUAAGUUCAGAUGUUAAGUUUGAAUAUGAUGAAGGCAUAGUCCAGGGAGUAGUGAAAGCUACAC
rnacentral:ncRNA from 1 species